UUUUUUUUUUUUUUUUUUUUUGGAGAUGGAAUUUCACGCUUGUUGCUCAGGCUGGAGUGCAAUGGCGUGAUCUCGACUCACUGCAUCCUCUGCCUCCCUGGUUCAAGCGAUUCUCCUGCCUCAGCCUCCUGAGUAGCUCGGAUUACAGUCAUGCACCACCAUAUCCAGCUUAUUUUGUAUUUUCAGUACAGACAGGGUUUCUCCAUGUUGGUCAGGCUGGUCUUGAACUCCUGGCCUCAGGUGAUCCACUCACCUUGGCCUCCCAAGUGCUGGGAUUACAGGUGUGAGCCACCGCGCCCACUCAGACCCUGUCUCUUAAAAAAAAAGUAAAAUAAAAAUAAGUUUGAAAAAAAGCAGAAGAAAGGACAGAGACACUGACUUGCAGGGAAGAAUGCCACAUGACCAGAGAUGCGAGAGUGGGGCCCAAAGAGGAAAGGGCACCUGGGGCCACCCAAAGAGGAGAGGCCACUUGCUUAGUGGUGAUGCUGGGACCAGAACCUGAGUGUCUGGUCUCUUCCAGCCCUGCCCGCGGAAGCUGGACCUGUAAGGAGUCAAGGCAGGCACCGGCUUGCAGAAUAUGAAGUGGGGUCCAGCUAUUCCAAAGCGUUUUCCUUAUCUAUUUGCUAAGUAUUCCUCCUGUUGUUUAACACUGAGCUCAGACUGUCUUUAUAGGGUUCUGGUUAAAAUGGACACAGCAGUAUGCUCAAACGUAACUUCUUUUCAGCACUUGGCAAUAUAAUGACAAAAAUAAUUCAUUGCAAGAAUUAUAUCUGCCAGGCAUGGUGGCUCUCGCCUGUAAUCCCAGUACUUUGGAGGUUGAAGUAGGAUGAUCGCUUGAGCUCAGGAGUUUGAAAACAGCCUGGGAAACACAGCAAAACCCUGUCUCUACCCCCAAAAAUACAAAUAUUGGCUAGGUGUGGUGGUCCACACCUGUAAUCCCAGCUACUCUGGAGGCUGAGGUAAGUGGAUCGCUUGAGCCAGGAGUCGGAGGUUGCAGUGAGCUGAGAUCGCGCCACUGCACUCCAUCCUGGGCAACAAAGGGAGACUCUGUCUCAAAUAAAUAAAUGAAUUAAAUAAACGUAAAAAUCAAAAAGUUAUAUCUUAAAUAUUUAGGCUUACAGAAUGCUUUCCCGUAGGUCUCAACUAGGGGCAAUCUUGUUCCCUAGGGGACAUUUGGCAAUGCGUGGAAGCAUUUUUGGUUGUCACAAGGAGGGAUUGCUACCGGUGCCUAGUGGGUAGAAGCCAGAGAUGCUGCUAAACAUGCUACGAAGUGCAGGACAAGACCCAUAAUAAUUAUCUAGCUUCAACUGUCAAUAAUGCCACGGUUGAGAAAUACGGUCAUAGAUCAUGCCAUUUAAUCCUCCUAACAGCCUUCAAAGGCAGAAUUUUUCAACUCAUGUGCCAGGGGUAC
rnacentral:lncRNA from 1 species